rnacentral:rRNA from 1 species
AACUUUGCUAAUACCCUAAAGGUACUAGAUCCCAUCUGAUCUUGGAAGCUAAGCAGGGUCUGUCUUGGCUGGUACUUGGAUUGGCGAGACCACCAUUAAAUACUAGAUGGUAUAGGCU